rnacentral:piRNA from 1 species
UGACAGAAAAUGUUAGAACAGGUGUUUGAA